CGACCCCAAGUCAGACAGGGCUACCCGCUGAGUUUAAGCAUAUCAAUAAGCGGAGG
rnacentral:rRNA from 1 species